UGAUUUGAUUUUUUUUUUUGGUGUUCCUGUCCCACACCUUCACUCACUCACAAUCACGUUUGUUUUCAAAAGGGUGACCAAAUGGGUCUUUUAAUGAAAAAGAGAAGUCAAGCCGUCAAUGAAGGUUGGUUUUUAUCCAAAAGAAAAAAGAGAGA
rnacentral:ribozyme from 13 species